rnacentral:rRNA from 1 species
GUAGGUGGCAAGCGUUGUCCGGAAUUAUUGGGGCGUAAAGCGCGCGCAGGCGGUUCUUUAAGUCUGAUGUGAAAGCCCACGGGCUCAACCGUGGAGGGUCAUUGGAAACUGGAGAACUUGAGUACAGAAGAGGAAAGCGGAAUUCCACGUGUAGCGGUGAAAUGCGUAGAGAUGUGGAGGAACACCAGUGGCGAAGGCGGCUUUCUGGUCUGUAACUGACGCUGAGGCGCGAAAGCGUGGGGAGCAAACAGGAUUAGAUACCCUGGUAGUCCACGCCGUAAACGAUGAGUGCUAAGUGUUAGGGGGUUUCCGCCCCUUAGUGCUGCAGCUAACGCAUUAAGCACUCCGCCUGGGGAGUACGCCGCAAAGGCUG